GUAGGUGGCAAGCGUUGUCCGGAAUUAUUGGGCGUAAAGCGCGCGCAGGCGGUUCUUUAAGUCUGAUGUGAAAGCCCACGGCUCAACCGUGGAGGGUCAUUGGAAACUGGAGAACUUGAGUACAGAAGAGGAAAGCGGAAUUCCACGUGUAGCGGUGAAAUGCGUAGAGAUGUGGAGGAACACCAGUGGUGAAGGCGGCUUUCUGGUCUGUAACUGACGCUGAGGCGCGAAAGCGUGGGGAGCAAACAGGAUUAGAUACCCUGGUAGUCCACGCCGUAAACGAUGAGUGCUAAGUGUUAGGGGGUUUCCGCCCCCCUUAGUGCUGCAGCUAACGCAUUAAGCACUCCGCCUGGGAGUACGGCCGCAAGGCUG
rnacentral:rRNA from 1 species